rnacentral:rRNA from 1 species
UACGGGGGGGGCAAGCGUUGUUCGGAAUUACUGGGCGUAAAGGGCUCGUAGGCGGCCAACUAAGUCAGACGUGAAAUCCCUCGGCUUAACCGGGGAACUGCAUCUGAUACUGGAUGGCUUGAGUUCGGGAGAGGGAUGCGGAAUUCCAGGUGUAGCGGUGAAAUGCGUAGAUAUCUGGAGGAACACCGGUGGCGAAGGCGACUUCCUGGCCUGUUCUUGACGCUGAGGCGCGAAAGCUAGGGGAGCAAACGGG